rnacentral:rRNA from 1 species
ACGCUCGACACCUACGGGAGGCAGCAGUGGGGAAUAUUGCACAAUGGGGGAAACCCUGAUGCAGCAACGCCGCGUGAGUGAAGAAGUAUUUCGGUAUGUAAAGCUCUAUCAGCAGGGAAGAUAAUGACGGUACCUGACUAAGAAGCUCCGGCUAAAUACGUGCCAGUANCCGCGGUAAGUCUGAGCGGGCGUGGCAAGGC